UGGGGAAUAUUGCACAAUGGAGGAAACUCUGAUGCAGCGACGCCGCGUGAGUGAAGAAGUAAUUCGUUAUGUAAAGCUCUAUCAGCAGGGAAGAUAAUGAUGGUACCUGACUAAGAAGCUCCGGCUAAAUACGUGCCAGCAGCCGCGGUAAUACGUAUGGAGCAAGCGUUAUCCGGAUUUACUGGGUGUAAAGGGUGCGCAGGUGGCGUGGCAAGUCAGAAGUGAAAAACCCGGGGCUCAACCCCGCGGACUGCUUUUGAAACUGUCAUGCUGGAGUCCAGGAGAGGUAAGCGGAAUUCCUAGUGUAGCGGUGAAAUGCGUAGAUAUUAGGAGGAACACCAGUGGCGAAGGCGGCUUACUGGACUGGUACUGACACUGAGGCACGAAAGCGUGGGGAG
rnacentral:rRNA from 1 species